rnacentral:lncRNA from 1 species
UGUUGAAUCUCGUAUUUUGAUGAUGAAACUACUUGAUAUAUGUUUAUGAUUUAAUCUGCAUUUUGAGUGACGCAGGGUGCUUCGAUCAGGAUGAAACAAUUAAAGCAGGAACAUCAUGUUGAGCCGGAGGAACAUGUCAGAAGAUUGGACGUCGGGCCGGUGGAUCGGUCGACGUAUCGACAGAAGGCUUCGGGCCGUGGACUCGGGCAUCGGGCCAAGAAGAGCGGGUAUUGUGCCAAGGAUAUCAGAGUUGCGGAGUCAACUGGCCGAUUGGGCAAUAGGCUGCAGGAAAGGACGAUGCGCCGAAGAAUCGGACGAAGCGUCGAGGGACCAAUGACAUGCCGGACAACUUGGUUAAUUGCUUAGGAUUAAUUGUCUCGAUCGAAGUUUUUCUUUAAUUGUGCAGGAUUAGCUAUGAUAACGAUGAAGACAUAAAGUGAAACAAAGUGUCGGAGUCAAGCGCGAAGGAUUUGUUGCAAGUUCGAGAGUUCGACGGAAGUCCGAAGGUUCGUCGGGAAUGCUACCGGAACUAGCCGAGAAUGAGUUGGAAGCUUGCCGAAGGGUUUUUCGGAAGCUCGCCGGAAGGUUCGUUGGGAGUUCGCGGAGCUCGCCGAGAAAGAUCGGAGCUUGCCGAAGAAGCUCGUUGGAACUCGCUAAGAACAAAUCGUGAAGUCUAGGAGCUUGCCGGGAGUCCGCAGAAUGGUUUCCGAGAGUUCAUCGGAAGACCG